ACUCCUGCGGGAGGCAGCAGUGGGGAAUUUUGGACAAUGGGCGAAAGCCUGAUCCAGCAAUGCCGCGUGAGUGAAGAAGGCCUUCGGGUUGUAAAGCUCUUUUGUCAGGGAAGAAACGGUGAGAGCUAAUAUCUCUUGCUAAUGACGGUACCUGAAGAAUAAGCACCGGCUAACUACGUGCCAGCAGCCGCGGUAAUACGUAGGGUGCAAGCGUUAAUCGGAAUUACUGGGCGUAAAGCGUGCGCAGGCGGUUUUGUAAGUCUGAUGUGAAAUCCCCGGGCUCAACCUGGGAAUUGCAUUGGAGACUGCAAGGCUAGAAUCUGGCAGAGGGGGGUAGAAUUCCACGUGUAGCAGUGAAAUGCGUAGAUAUGUGGAGGAACACCGAUGGCGAAGGCAGCCCCCUGGGUCAAGAUUGACGCUCAUGCACGAAAGCGUGGGGAGCAAACAGGAUUAGAUACCCCAGUAGUCCCAUG
rnacentral:rRNA from 1 species